rnacentral:lncRNA from 1 species
GAAAGAGUUUUUUAUAUAUUCCAGCUACGAGGUCCUUAUAAGAGAUAAGGGAAAUACUCUCUCCCAUUCUGUCGAUUGCCUUCACUUUUUGCAUAGUGUCCUUUGAUGCACAAAGUUUAAAAUUUUGGUGGAGUUCAGUUUAUAUUUUUUGUUGGUUGUGCUUUGGCAUCACAUUUAAGUGACUGCUGCCUAAUCCAAGAUCAUAAAGAUUUACACCUAUGUUUCCUCUGAGUUUUUAUAGUUUUAGCUCUUAAUUUGGCCUCAUAUCCAUUUUGAGUUUAUUUUUAUAUAUGGUGUGAAAUAAGGAUCUAACUUUAUUCUUUGGCAUGUGAAUAUUCAGUUGUCCCAGCACCAUUUGCUGAAAAGACCAUUCUUUCUUCAUUGGAUAUUCUUGGCACUGUUGUUGAAAAUCAAUUCACUGUAAAUGUAAGGGUUUAUUUUUGGAAUUUUGAUUCUGUUCCAUUGAUUUAUAUGCCUACCCUUUUCAGAGCUGCUUGAAUAGAAGGACAGAUUUGCUGUUGGCCCACAAUAAGGGUCUACUUUAAAAAGUCUACUCCUAAGUCCCAUAGGGACAUCUGUCUGUGACAUAUCCUGUCUGUCCCUCAUGAUUUUUUGUGGCCUGGUUCCCGUUGGAAACAGCCUAUCAAGAAGGAAAAAUGAGGUGGGUUAUCAGAAGUCAAUAAGUGUCUUAUUCUCUCCAGUGCCAGUGGUGUUGUGAUGAUGUUCCCAGAAAGCAGUAUAACAUGGUGGUUAAAAGUUCAGGUUCUGGUGUCAGGCUGCCUGUGUUCAAGUCUUAGUUCCACCAUUUACUUGGCUGUGUAAUCUUGUGCAAUUUACUCAACCUUCCUGUGGUUUGCUUUUUUUUCCUGUAACCUGGAGAUGAUGAUAAUAAACCUUCAGGAGGCUUAACUGAGAUAAAAAAAAAAAUGUAGUUCUUACAGUAGUACAUUAUAAAUGUUUGCUGCUAAAUACAUAUUAUCUGUUUUUCCCAUGGCUCAACUCUUUGCUGUAGAAUAUGGAAUAUUGACUCCUUCCCACCCAGACUAUCAGCGGGAUUAAAUUGUAGUCUACUAAGAAGGAGAUUCUUAGGUGAUGUGGACAUAUCAUGAUUAAAAAGUAUCUUAAUCUGUUUUCUGUAAUUUUUACAUUGGGUAGAAUGUAAGAUUAAGACAUACUGCCAGGAAUGGGUAGCAAAUUUGCAAAAUUUUACUAAUUUAAAUAUUAAAGUCCAGCCCCAAAUACAUAAUUCAGUUAGAAAGGUUCAGCAAGGGCUGGGGUUAUGGCUCAGCGGUAGAGCAC